GACGAACGCUGGCGGCGUGCUUAACACAUGCAAGUCGAACGGAAAGGCCCUGCUUUUGUGGGGUGCUCGAGUGGCGAACGGGUGUGUUACACGUGAGUAACCUGGCCUUGACUUUGUGAUAACUUCAGGAAACCGGGGCUAAUACCGGCUAGGAGCUCCUGCUGCAUGGUGGGCGUCGGACAGCUCAGGAGGUUGUGGAUCGACUCGCGGGUUAUCAGCUUGUUGGUGGGGUACUGGCUUACCAAGGCAUUGAAGGCUAGCCGGCCUGAGAGGGUGGCCAGCGACAUUGGGACUGAGGUACGGCCCAGACUCGUACGGGAGGCAGAAGGGGGGAAUAUUGCACAAUGGGCGGAAGCCUGAUGCAGCAACGCCGCGUGCGGGAUGACGGCCUUCGGGUUGUAAACCGCUUUCGCCUGUGACGAAGCGUGAGUGACGGUAAUGGGUAAAGAAGCACCGGCUAACUACGUG
rnacentral:rRNA from 1 species